UGCAAGUCGAGCGCGGGAAGCAAGCAGAUCUCCUUCGGGAGUGACGCUUGUGGAACGAGCGGCGGACGGGUGAGUAACACGUGGGCAACCUACCUGUAAGACUGGGAUAACUCCGGGAAACCGGGGCUAAUACCGGAUGAAACAAAGCGUCGCAUGACGCAAUGUUAAAAGGCGGCAUAUGCUGUCACUUACAGAUGGGCCCGCGGCGCAUUAGCUAGUUGGUGAGGUAAAGGCUCACCAAGGCAACGAUGCGUAGCCGACCUGAGAGGGUGAUCGGCCACACUGGGACUGAGACACGGCCCAGACUCCUACGGGAGGCAGCAGUAGGGAAUCUUCCGCAAUGGACGAAAGUCUGACGGAGCAACGCCGCGUGAGUGAUGAAGGUUUUCGGAUCGUAAAACUCUGUUGUUAGGGAAGAACAAGUGCCAUUCGAAUAGGUUGGCACCUUGACGGUACCUAACCAGAAAGCCCCGGCUAACUACGUGCCAGCAGCCGCGGUAAUACGUAGGGGGCAAGCGUUGUCCGGAAUUAUUGGGCGUAAAGCGCGCGCAGGCGGUCCUUUAAGUCUGAUGUGAAAGCCCACGGCUUAACCGUGGAGGGCCAUUGGAAACUGGAGGACUUGAGUACAGAAGAGGAGAGUGGAAUUCCACGUGUAGCGGUGAAAUGCGUAGAGAUGUGGAGGAACACCAGUGGCGAAGGCGACUCUCUGGUCUGUAACUGACGCUGAGGUGCGAAAGCGUGGGUAGCGAACAGGAUUAGAUACCCUGGUAGUCCACGCCGUAAACGAUGAGUGCUAGGUGUUAGGGGGUUUCCGCCCCUUAGUGCUGAAGUUAACGCAUUAAGCACUCCGCCUGGGGAGUACGGCCGCAAGGCUG
rnacentral:rRNA from 1 species